rnacentral:rRNA from 1 species
UGGGGAAUAUUGGACAAUGGGCGAAAGCCUGAUCCAGCCAUGCCGCGUGUGUGAAGAAGGUCUUCGGAUUGUAACGCACUUUAAGUUGGGAGGAAGGGCAGUAAGCGAAUACCUUGCUGUUUUGACGUUACCGACAGAAUAAGCACCGGCUAACUCUGUGCCAGCAGCCGCGGUAAUACAGAGGGUGCAAGCGUUAAUCGGAAUUACUGGGCGUAAAGCGCGCGUAGGUGGUUCGUUAAGUUGAAUGUGAAAGCCCCGGGCUCAACCUGGGAACUGCAUCCAAAACUGGCGAGCUAGAGUAGGGCAGAGGGUGGUGGAAUUUCCUGUGUUGCGGUGGAAUGCGUAGAUAUAGGAAGGAAAACCAGUGGCGAAGGCGACCACCUGGGCUCAUACUGACACUGAGGUGCGAAAGCGUGGGGAGCAAACAGG